rnacentral:misc_RNA from 1 species
CGUCAUAAAACAAAUUGAACAAAAAUGUACUAAAAUUAUAAGACAAAUUAAGUUGAAUAUUAUGAAUAUUACGUUACAUUAAAACUGAUGUAGCAUUUAAACUGUUAUAAUUUAAUUCUAAUAAAUCAGUAAGACUUCGUAUAAUUAUAAUUAAAAAAACCGGGAUUAGGAAAACAUAACCACAUUUACUGUUUACUAAAUAAAAAACAUUUUUUCUGUAGUUUCUGCUUUCCACAAGUCCACAAAAUAACUUAUUUCUUAAUAAACAAAAUAUUAUACGUAUACGGUAUUAUGGAUGGAUCUCUUAUGUAAUACAGACCGUAUGCAAAUGGACUGUAUAUUACAAUAGCCAAUAAAUCAAUUAUAUCUUGAAGUAGGUGCUUAUCAGCUCAUAUUUUAUUCACAUUUUACUUUACCAGUAUUAAAAGAUGACAUCAACAACUGUAACUAAACGGCACAGAGAAAAAAACAGUGCAAAAGCUACCUCACAAGAAAAUUGGAAAGGAAAAGCCAAAGAUGAAAUUACAGAUAAGAAAGACAAAGAAAGCCAGCCAAAAGAUUUUAAAUAUGGACCUUUACCUAGAUUCCCUUCACAAAGGGUGUGGAGCAGAGGUGUGAUGAUUAUAGGUGUUCUUGUUUAUCUUUGGUAUUUCUCAAAAAGUACCAAUGAAACAGUUCUAGCAAAACAAAAUACUGUCUACAAUAGACGAUCCCAAGUCGUGGAGUGUGGCCCUGAAUUUGUAGAAGAUAUAAAACAGUAUAAAUCCUGUAUUCCAGAAAAGUGUGGAAGGUUUGUGAGUGACAAAAUCGUUACUGACCAGGAGGCAGACAUUUUAUUGAGAUUAGCUGUUAGAAUAAUGGCACAAGGUGGAUCUUCAGGUGGAGCAUCCAUAAUUGAUUUACACACAGGAGCCCUAUCCUACAAAGAUAGGUUUAUAAAUAUCUAUGAACAGAGUGGCAGCAAAAAUAUUUUGACAGAAUCUGAAAGGACAAUUUACCAUUUAGUAAGAAGCAAAAUUCAAGAAGCCAUUGCUCAGAAUUUUGGUAUUCAAGCCGAUAGUUUAUAUUUAACCUAUCCGACAUUUUUCUCUAGACUUACCAAUGUUGACCCAAAAACUAGACAUGACGAGUACUGGCAUGAACAUAUUGACAAGCGGACUUACGAAUCAUUCCAUUAUACAUCACUACUCUACUUAAACGAUUAUGGAAAAGACUUCAAAGGAGGCAGAUUUAUUUUCCAGGAUAACAUUGCAAAACCUACCAAAAACGUAACGGUUGAACCGCGUAAGGGUAGGGUGUCUAUGUUUACUUCGGGUUCAGAAAACCCUCACUUUGUCGAGAGAGUAGAAGAAGGUAUGCGAUUUGCAAUCACUGUUUCGUUUACCUGCGAUAAGACAAAGGCUAUUUCUGAUCCAGGCGUUUAACGGAAGAAGAUUCAGUAUGUAACAUAAAACUUCACAACAAAACACAAAUUGUACAAAUUAUAUAUAGGUAAAUGAUAAUAUAAUCUAACUACUAUAUCCCCCCCUCUCUCUCUCUCUACCUCUUUUUCUCUCCCCCGCCUCUCUCUCUCUCCUUCUCUCUCUCCUCUCCUUCCUCUCACUCCUAUGGCGCUACAGCCUAAGUCAGGCUCUGGCCUCCCUCAGCAUCCGCCUCUCACCAUCCCUCUCCUUGGCUGUUCUCUUCCAGUUAUCCACACUCAAUAUCUCUUUAGCAUCGGAUAUCAUUUCAUCAUAAUAACCAUAACCACAGUUUCACUGAGCGUUCUACUGGGUGUUCUGUUAUUUUUCAUUCUUAUUAGAUGGCCUAGAUCAGACUAGAUUAGUUCAAUAUUUGUAUUUUUGACCUUAUUCUCUCUCUACCAUUGUCGCAUUUUUCAAUAUCUUUCUGUCAAAAGUAAUAAUACGGUUUUUAUAUUUUCUGUCAUGAUCCAUGUUUCUGUGCCAUAUGUUGCUAUUGGUCGUAUGAUGCUUUUACAUAUUUUAAACUUUACUUCUCCGUGGGUGUUUUUGGAUCACAAACACCUGCGACAGAGCUGUAAUCUAAUUACAAAUCAAUAUAAUACUGCUGGUGAUCUAACUUCGUUAAUAUACCUUCAGUCCCCACCAGUACUAGGGCCGGAUCCAAGAAGUACGGUAUGAAUAGGUGUAAUUAAUUAGCCAGCAUUGUGAGUCAGGGGACUGCCGCCCCUCCUCCCGAACCCUCCACUUUCUGCCAAUAUAAUUCAUAAUUUUCUUGAAUAUAGUUAUAGUCCUUCAGUUCUUCUAAUAUACGUCAUUUUUAUGUUUGCGAGAUUAAAAUUGUUUCGAGACAUAUCGACUCCUUUGUAAAGUGUAUUAAUAGAUUGACAUGGCCUGUCAUGUAUCACCCAUUUUCUUAUGUUAGUUCGUGUAGAAGAUAUCGACUUCAGAGUACAUACAAUUUUUUAAUAAUUUGCUAUAUUCGUUUCUCUUUUUUUCCAAAAAAUUAUGGUUGCAUUAAUUAUCUUGACUAGCAGCAACAUUUAUUGAUUUAGGCCCGGUCUUUUCACCUCCGAAUAAAAAUUAUUCGGAGGUUUAUUUGACAGAUUUACAUAUAAUCUGCCGGAUAAUCUUCCUAAUAAAUAGUUAUUCGGGCCUUAAAGUAAAUGAUAAAUACCUACAUGAUUCAUUUAAAUAAUUAAUUCACUUUUAAAGUAUAUAAGCUCAUCUAAUAUUGUAUUUAAAGCACUGAAUAGUAUUAUACUGAUAGUAAUGAUAGUAAUAUUGGCUUGGCACAUGCUGCUGAGCCGCCAUUUCCCGAUUUGAGGGUAUCUGUAUAAAUGAAUCAACUCUUGUACAGAUCUGGGCCUCGAUUUUUGACCCUUCGCUUCGUUAUCGAACGUAUGCGCUACGUAUACUAAACAGAUACGAAGCGAAUACGUUCGAUAACGAAGCGAAAGGUCAAAAAUCGAGGCCCUGCUGGAUCUUGGCACAUUAUCAUCAUUUCCAUUACGGAAAUUAAAUCAAAACUGUAUAAACAUUUUAAAUUUCUUUGCAACAUGAAAAUGCAGCAGCUGCAUAAUACUCUGGUUAAAUCGGAGAGUGCAGGAAGAGUCUAUAUCGGUUUCGGAGAUCUUUUCCCCCUCAUCAGUAGUUCCAUAUCCUCUUCUCUCCGAUUUCCCCAGGUAUCAUAUUUUGGGCCUUUCCGAAUUGCAAAGAAAGAAAUGUCACGGAUGAACUAGAGCCAUCUACCGAAAAACAAAGUAAGUUAUCAAUCGAAGUAGCACAGAAAACGACAAUAAAUAUCGUUCCCAUACCACCAGAUUGACAACAGGUGUAAUACUUUCUUUGGUUACACCUCCUGAGAUUUUCAAAAUUUAUAAAUCAUACAGGAUGCCGAGGAAAUUAAGAUGAGAGAAUUUUAAAUAAUUCACAACUCAUCUGUUCAGCGUGGUAAAAGUUCCAAGAAGAAAGAUUCCUUAAUACUCUUACAAAAGAGUAAAUGAAGAGUUUGCUGUGUACUUCGAUUGAUAACUUACUUUGUAAAUCAAAACUGUUUGGCUACAGGGUUGCGAUAAAAAAUCGAUUUAAAACUAUUUUAACCCGCCAUUACACGCGCUAUGAGGGAAUCCCUCACCAUAUUUGUUUAUAAGCAAUGAAAUUGUGUAAACUAAUACGAUAACCUUAAGCACCCAGGAAUGCCUUUAGCAUGGUUCAUGAGAGGGUAUGAAAAAGUUAUAGAAUAUUUCAGUCGGUCAGUGUGCUGUGUGAUAGUUGAAAGAAGAGACAUCCCUCUUCAAGUGAGGGAAUUCCACACUGCGCGUGCAAUCACGGUGAAAUCACGUUUCUGUUAUCUCAAAGAAACUUUUAGGUUUUUAUUUAAUAUUUAGGUAGGUUUAAUUAAAAUAUUAUUGUUUGGAUUAGGUUAGGAACAGUGGCACACCGAGGGGGGGUUUGGGGGUUAAAAUCCCACCCAGAGCAUAUAGAAAUAUAUAUAAAAGAAGGUAGGAAAAUGUAACUUGUCUUUCACAAAUAAUACAAAAUACUUUCGGUGCCCAAGCAAACCCCCCUCCCCCCAGAGGAAAAUUCUAGGUGCGCCACUGGUUAAGAACCCAUUUUUAAAUUUACCUAUUCUAAUUGGGAAAUAAGUCAAAAUUUAACUUAAAAAAUUAAUUUUAUGGACGUUUCGAAUUCCACCUCGGACGUCGUUAUCAAAAUACAAAAUAUUAAUAGUUAAUUACAUAAAUGCCACAAAGAAAUAGCUUCAGAACAGUUGUAAAUUUUAAUUUGUAUUUUUAGUAAAAUGAAUUCGCGUAAAGAACGUUAAUUUCUUCAGUGGCUUGCUGAAAUUGAAAAUUAAGAAAACUUGCUUUUGAUCUAUAUUAUUUUUACUUUUGUUUUGUUAAAUUAAUAAAAAAAUUGGUUUGCGAGUCUUUCUAUAAUAUGUGAGUACAACCCAUUAUAUAUUUAUACAUGUUGACAUUCAUUCUUUCUCGAAAUAAGUCGAAUUUAUGUAGGUGAGGGCGACGCUCAUACGCGUGCAACCACGUCACAAUAGAAGACGGCGGGUUAAGCAUAAAAUUGGUUGUGUCCUUAAGCACAUUGUACACUCGUUUGUCAUCAUUAUCAUCAUCAUUCGUCAACCUCUUGCAUCCACUGUUGGAUAUAGGUCUUUUCCAUAUUCUUCCAUUGUUCUCUCUCUUGUGCCUUCCGUAUCCAAUUUCGCACUGUUUUUCUCAAGUCUACCUCGGUGCCUCAAGUCUACCAAACUCUUUGGUGGUCUACCUCGGUGUCUUUUAUCUUCUCUAGGUCUCCACUCUAUGAGUCUUCUGGUCCACCUAUUAUUAUUUAAACGUGCCACAUGUCCAGCCCAUCUCCAUUUGGCUUGUGCAAUUUUUUCUAUGACAUCUGUCACUUUGGUCCUCUCUCUCACUAUCCUAUUUGGUACCAUAUCUCUUCUUGUUAUUUCUAAAAUUGGUCUUUCCAUUUUUUUAGGUUAUUCUCAAUUUAUUUGCAGAAUGUUUAGUCAAAGUUAUGAAACCAUAUGUUAUUACCGGCAGCAUGCACACAACACCCGUUUAUAUCCUGUACAUUACAUUUUGUUCUAAUUUCGUCACUUCUUAUUCGGUCUCUCAGAGUUUUUUUUGUAAUUCUUCUCAGUAUUCUUGUUUCUGCUGUUUCCAGCCUUCUCUCUAUUUUAGCUGUAUCGGGUCUUGUUUCUGAUGCAUACCUCAUUAUUGGUCUUAUAUUCAUAAGAUUCUUCAUUUCAUCUCACAGUUAAGAUGUCGGUUACGCCAUAUAGUGUCAAUUCUGCUAAUCUAUUUGCUCUUUGUACUUGGACAUAUCUUGACCAUCAUAUAUAGACAAAUACCAUUCUUGACGAAAAUUGUACAUUAUAUACCCCUUUUUCGGUUAUCUAAUUUAUCUAAGAGAUUUACCCUUAAACUUGUAACAUAACACCUUGAGACGUGAAUCUACGAUCAUAUCACACACAUCUGAAAUUGUCUUGAUUUUUCAAUUUUAUUUGACUAAUUUAAAAAAAGAACCGUUUUUUUGUAAUAAAAAACGCAAAUAUUUUGUUAGCGUGUUGACUGUACUUAUGCAUCACCUUAAGCUAAUUCAGGUAAUAUUUAUUUAUAAAUGAAAUAAUUAAAUGGUUUUAAAUGUUUAUAUUUUUUGUUGCGGUUUUUUUAUAUUUGUAUGUUUAUUUUUAUUAUAAUGACCAGUAAUAACAUUCCCAGUAAUUUUAUUGUGUGCUAUUUUGUUAUGUUUAUAUUGUAUAUUAUUUAUUUCAAGAUGUGUAAAUGUUAAUAAACGAAGUAAUUGUUAAA